rnacentral:rRNA from 1 species
UACGGAGGGUGCAAGCGUUGUUCGGAAUCACUGGGCGUAAAGCGCGUGUAGGCGGCCUCCUAAGUCUGGUGUGAAAGCCCGGGGCUUACCCCCGGAAGUGCACUGGAUACUGGGAGACUAGAGUACCGGAGAGGAGGGUGGAAUUCCUGGUGUAGCGGUGAAAUGCGUAGAUAUCAGGAGGAACAUCAGUGGCGAAGGCGACACCCUGGACUCAUACUGACACUGAGGUGCGAAAGCGUGGGGAGCAAGCAGG